rnacentral:tRNA from 1 species
CCCUGGGUAGUGUAAAUGGUUAAUACCAUCAGCUGCUAACUGAAAGGUUGGAUGUUCAAGUCCACCCAGGGU